UACGGAGGGUGCAAGCGUUAUCCGGAUUCACUGGGCUUAAAGGGCGCGUAGGUGGGCAGGCAAGUCAGUGGUGAAAUCUCCGGGCUUAACCCGGAAACUGCCGUUGAUACUAUUUGUCUUGAAUAUUGUGGAGGUAAGCGGAAUAUGUCAUGUAGCGGUGAAAUGCUUAGAUAUGACAUAGAACACCAAUUGCGAAGGCAGCUCACUACGCGAAUAUUGACACUGAGGCACGAAAGCGUGGGGAUCAAACAGG
rnacentral:rRNA from 1 species